GUAGACUUUAAUCCAAAUAUUUACUCCCAGCUUUGCUCAGUUUGAAUAUAAACUGUAAGUUCCUCAAUUUACUACAUCAGAAUUAAAAAUGGCAAACUUAAAUGCACUUCUUGUCCUCACAAUUCUUCUAAUUUACUUAAAAUCUGUGUUACUUUUGUGAUGGUCCUCUCAGCUCUGAAUGCGACACUUUAAAUUAUAUUCCAGCCAAAUCGUGUUUCAAUGAAGACGUUUGUGCACGAUAUAUUCUCAAAAAAGUUGAAACUGAGAUUUUGUACCGUUCUUGCGCUCC